rnacentral:rRNA from 1 species
UGUAUAAUGGGUCAGCGACUUAUAUUCUGUAGCAAGGUUAACCGUAUAGGGGAGCCGAAGGGAAACCGAGUCUUAACUGGGCGUUAAGUUGCAGGGUAUAGACCCGAAACCCGGUGAUCUAGCCAUGGGCAGGUUGAAGGUUGGGUAACACUAACUGGAGGACCGAACCGACUAAUGUUGAAAAAUUAGCGGAUGACUUGUGGCUGGGGGUGAAAGGCCAAUCAAACCGGGAGAUAGCUGGUUCUCCCCGAAAGCUAUUUAGGUAGCGCCUCGUGAACUCAUCUUCGGGGGUAGAGCACUGUUUCGGCUAGGGGGCCAUCCCGGCUUACCAACCCGAUGCAAACUACGAAUACCGAAGAAUGUUAUCACGGGAGACACACGGCGGGUGCUAACGUCCGUCGUGAAGAGGGAAACAACCCAGACCGCCAGCUAAGGUCCCAAAGUCAUGGUUAAGUGGGAAACGAUGUGGGAAGGCACAGACAGCCAGGAUGUUGGCUUAGAAGCAGCCAUCAUUUAAAGAAAGCGUAAUAGCUCACUGGUCGAGUCGGCCUGCGCGGAAGAUGUAACGGGGCUAAACCAUGCACCGAAGCUGCGGCAGCGACGCUUAGGCGUUGUUGGGUAGGGGAGCGUUCUGUAAGCCGUUGAAGGUG